rnacentral:rRNA from 1 species
GACGAACCGUGCAAACGUUGUUCGGAAUCACUGGGCUUAAAGGGCGCGUAGGCGGGUUCCCAAGUCGGUGGUGAAAUCUUUCGGCCCAACCGGAAAAGUGCCGCCGAUACUGGGAGUCUCGAGGGAGGUAGGGGUCGAUGGAACUUCCGCUGGAGCGGUGAAAUGCGUAGAUAUCGGAAGGAACGCCGGUGGCGAAAGCGAUCGACUGGACCUCUUCUGACGCUGAGGCGCGAAAGCCAGGGGAGCAAACGGG